AGAGGACAAAUGUAGCUUAAGAA
rnacentral:piRNA from 1 species